ensembl:lncRNA
AUAAUCAAAUACAAAUCUAUCAUCAUAAUUAAUUCAUUAUUAUAACGUGAAUGAUCGUGCUAGCAUUUGUCAUGUUUUUUUUUUGCAGGUAUUUUGCAAUUGUCUUUCCAAAUAUUAGGUUUAUUUUAAUAUCUGUUCCUUGCCAUCAUUUCUGAUAGCUGAAAUCUUUUAACUGGAAUCUUCUCAGACCCUCAGACCAUUUUUCUUUUCUUUUUUUUUGUUUAUCCUUCAUGUAAUUACUUUAGUGUGGAAUUCAUCUUUCUAAUUACAUAAACACAUUACAUAAAUUACAAGAAGUUAUAUAAGAAAGUGCAAAUUCUGUAUAUUUAUAUGUUUAAAUACUAGAUAUAUUUUCAUUUUUAGGUCAAUUAUAUGCAUCAUACUAAAUUUAAGACAUGUGUAACUAUAAUGUACAACAUUAUUUUAAAUAUUUUAUGCAGGUGUGGCCCAUUUUUCACAUAGAACUUACGCUGUACUAUAGGAGACUAUAUGAAUAUGUUUACAUUUUGCGCCUGAAUGACUAUUAACACAUUAUUGCAGUUUUUGAGUGUCUCUUAAAUGUACUUCAGCAAUAAUUUUGCAUUGUUUCAAAAGCUAUCAGUGCGUAGAAGUCCACAGUUUCAUAGUCUCUAAACUAAAAUGUGACAUUACUUAAAUCUUGGAACUCAUUUUUUCUUUAGUUCAAUUAGAUUUACCAUUGCCAAGUUACAACAUCUACCGUUAAACACAGCAUUGGCCAUUUUCUUUUUUACACAUAUCACCUAAGAAUUAUCACAGGUAAGAAAAUUUUAAGAAAAUGUUUUAAAGUAACAACAAGCAAAAUACUUCAACAACAAGCAAAAUAAGGGGAAAAAUUACUUACUUGGUUCAACGCGAAGAGUUAUCGGCUUUCCAAAUGUCAGAGCUUCAGUGU